UACGUAGGGGGCUAGCGUUGUCCGGAUUUAUUGGGCGUAAAGAGCGUGUAGGCGGCCAGGUAGGUCCGGUGUGAAAACUCGAGGCUUAACCUCGAGAUGUCAUCGGAAACCAUCUGGCUAGAGUCCGGAAGAGGAAAGUGGAAUUCCUGGUGUAGCGGUGAAAUGCGCAGAUAUCAGGAGGAACACCGGUGGCGAAGGCGGAUCUCUGGGCCUGUUCUGACGCUGAGGCGCGAAAGCUAGGGGAGCGAACAGG
rnacentral:rRNA from 1 species